UGGGGAAUAUUGGACAAUGGGCGCAAGCCUGCUCCAGCCAUGCCGCGUGAGUGAUGAAGGCCCUAGGGUUGUAAAGCUCUUUCACCGGUGAUGAUAAUGACGGUAACCGGAGAAGAAGCCCCGGCUAACUUCGUGCCAGCAGCCGCGGUAAUACGAAGGGGGCUAGCGUUGUUCGGAUUUACUGGGCGUAAAGCGCACGUAGGCGGACUUUUAAGUCAGGGGUGAAAUCCCGGGGCUCAACCCCGGAACUGCCUUUGAUACUGGAAGUCUGGAGUAUGGUAGAGGUGAGUGGAAUUCCGAGUGUAGAGGUGAAAUUCGUAGAUAUUAGGAGGAACACCAGUGGCGAAGGCGGCUCACUGGACAAUUACUGACGCUGAGGUGCGAAAGCGUGGGGAGCAAACAGG
rnacentral:rRNA from 1 species